GAGAUUCUCUGUAAAAGAACAGAUUAAGAGAGCUAUAGAAAUUUGAACAAAUAUUUCCAAAGACAUCGACCCAUCUUUAAAUUACAAAGUCCAAUAAAUAUAUAAACCUAAAUCUAGUGGGAUUUAGGUUCGUUCAUGGAAAUAUAUAUAAUAAAUUAUUUCCAGUUUGAAACUUUUUCCUUUUUGUUUUUUUUUUUUUUCCUCUUUAAGUUGUACAAUUUCCUUUCCUUCGUUGGUUGAUACAAAAUUUUGAAUAAUUGCAGUGACAAAUGGGCAAAAUUUACAGAAAUUAAAAAGGAGAAAAGAAAAAGCUGGCAGAAACUUCCAAACGAAGACCAAAACUCUAAAUCACGGAUUACAACUAAUUUGGCAAAUAAAAUAAAAAUGCAAAACCCCCCAAAUUAUCCGAAAACCGAGUAAAGAAAAGACAGCCGGAGAGGACCGCGAAUGCGCGGGCCAAUCGUGUGGGUCCCCCGCGGAGCACUUUGUCCCAAUUGGACAACAAGCCAAGCAUUAAUCAAAGCAGCAGACGAUAAUUCCUCUCUCUCUCUCUCUCUCUCUCUCUCUUGCAGUUUCUCCCAUGUGAAUCGUCCCCGCAACAAACAAACGCACAAACAAAUCCUUCUAGCUGACGAAAAAGUGUUUUGUCUUGUACUUCUUUUCUGACACAACUACUCAUAUACUCAUACUAAUACUAAUACUAAGCUCUCUUCAUUUUUCACAAUUCUAAUUUCUAACACAACAAACACAACGGCAAUAUUCUCUCUUGAAUUGAGAGAGAAAUAAACGGUCGUUAUAAAAAGAAGCUCGGCUGCAAUGUCAACAUCACCGUCGCCGGGGGCCACCCCAGCGGCACCGGCCCCCACUUCUCCUCCAUCCGCCAACACCACCUCGCCUCCGCCCCNNNNNNNNNNNNNNNNNNNNNNNNNNNNNNNNNNNNNNNNNNNNNNNNNNNNNNNNNNNNNNNNNNNNNNNNNNNNNNNNNNNNNNNAGGGAUCGCCGCCGCCUCCGACGGGUGACGACGGUGGCGGCGGGGUGAGUACUGGGUUAGUGGUGGGGUUGGCGAUUGGUGGGCUGGCGGUAAUUGUGGUGGUGAGCCUGUUGUUUUUGUGUUGCCGCAAGAAGAGGAGGAGGAGAGAUGAUGAGGCCGGUUACUAUAUGCCCCCACCUCCUCCUGCCCCAAAAGGUAAAGCUUUUAACUUUCUUAUUUUCUUUUCUUUAAAUUUGCAUAUUUAUUUAUUUAUUUAUUUCAAAUUGCUUCUGGUUUCGUUGAUUUUAAUCAUUUUGUGCGUUUCCGUGACCUGUUUUUGCAGUGUUGUUCUUGAUUUAUGAUUAAGAUUUGAUUCAUCCUUGGCAUUGCAUGAAUUUAAAUCGGACUUAGUUUUUUAUUUUUCUUGCAUUUGUUUAAUUCAAUUUUGACCGUUUUGAUUGAUUGAUGCAUGUAUCAAUGAAACCGUCUUAUCUUUGAUUUUUACUUGGUUCUCUGAACUAUUUUGUACUUUGUAGACAUGGGUGAUAUGCAGCUGCAUGUGUGCUGUCUAAUGUCUGUGGAUUGCAACGGAGUCAAAUUUGCUCUUUUGGAGGUGUUGUGAUAUUUUCAUAUUCGAGAUUAUUACUAGAAUUGGGACAUUUUCGGAAUAAUUUCAGUGGUCCUUGUUUUUGUUACCAUAUAGUUGGCCAAAGUCUCAUUCUACCAAACUGGCAAACCCCAUUCCAAAAUUCUGUUUAUUGCAAAAUCUAAAAUCUUGAACUACUUAGGGUAACACAUAAGUUUUAAACUUCUAGUAAAUUAUUGUUCUUUGUUUUACCUUUCCAAUUUUGAUGCUUUCCAUUCACAUAUUUAUCUACAGCUUGUGGCCAAGACUCUUGAUUUUGUCUCAGUUGACUAAGUUACAUCUUAUCAUUAGGAGUACCAAAAAUGGUUCCUGCUAUUGUUUUUUUUUCUUGAGAUUUUGAGGCACUUGAAAAUUGCUUUUUGAUGUUGAAUUGUUAAUUUUGAUUUCAAUACGCUUUUAAUUCAAGGUGUGAUAGCAUAUUGGCAAUACAUUGUGAUCAAGUACUAGUCAUUUCUCUAGUUUCUUUGAGUAAUUAAUUUUAAAGAAGGUGUUAACAAGCUAUACAAAUAACUCCUUGACUAACAUCUCCAGAGGUUCCUGCUUCAAUUAAUAACUAUUGAGUAUUGUAAGUAAUUUAUGAUUUUUCUGCUGUACGGCCAAGGCGGAUGUACGGUACAGCAGAAUUAAAAAGGAGAAAAGAAAAAGCUGGCAGAAACUUCCAAACGAAGACCAAAACUCUAAAUCACGGAUUACAACUAAUUUGGCAAAUAAAAUAAAAAUGCAAAACCCCCCAAAUUAUCCGAAAACCGAGUAAAGAAAAGACAGCCGGAGAGGACCGCGAAUGCGCGGGCCAAUCGUGUGGGUCCCCCGCGGAGCACUUUGUCCCAAUUGGACAACAAGCCAAGCAUUAAUCAAAGCAGCAGACGAUAAUUCCUCUCUCUCUCUCUCUCUCUCUCUCUCUUGCAGUUUCUCCCAUGUGAAUCGUCCCCGCAACAAACAAACGCACAAACAAAUCCUUCUAGCUGACGAAAAAGUGUUUUGUCUUGUACUUCUUUUCUGACACAACUACUCAUAUACUCAUACUAAUACUAAUACUAAGCUCUCUUCAUUUUUCACAAUUCUAAUUUCUAACACAACAAACACAACGGCAAUAUUCUCUCUUGAAUUGAGAGAGAAAUAAACGGUCGUUAUAAAAAGAAGCUCGGCUGCAAUGUCAACAUCACCGUCGCCGGGGGCCACCCCAGCGGCACCGGCCCCCACUUCUCCUCCAUCCGCCAACACCACCUCGCCUCCGCCCCNNNNN
rnacentral:lncRNA from 1 species